CUAAUACCCGUUGAUCCUGCGGGAGAUUGCUGCUAUGGGAGUUCGACUAAGCCAUGCAAGUCAGAGGGAUCUUCGGAUCACAGGCUGAAUGCUCAGUAACACGUCAAUAAUCUGCCCUUAGGUCUGGGAUAGCCAUGGGAAACUGUGGGUAAAACCGGAUAGAGAAUCGAUACUGGAAUGUUCUUUUCUUGAAAAGCAAUGCCUAAGGAUGAGUUGGCGGCCGAUUAGCUUGAUGGUAGGGUAAAGGCCUACCAUGGCUACGAUCGGUAGGGGCCGUGAGAGCGGGAGCCCCGAGAAGGGUACUGAGACACUGACCCUAGCCCUACGGGGUGCAGCAGGCGCGAAACCUUUACACUGUACGGAAGUGCGAUAAGGGAACUCCCAGUGCUCAUGCAUUGCAUGGGCUUUUGCCAAGUGU
rnacentral:rRNA from 1 species